UUAUUCUAUACAAAAGAUCGUCGAUUAUUAAACAUCUUUCAACAAUGGAUACUUGAAAAAUACAACACGUAUUAUAUUAAUAGCAAAACAUAUUCUGCCCGAACUCGAUACUCGGUUCUCGCGAUUAAGAAGUGAAAAGUAUCCAACGAGAAAAAUUAUCACCGCAAAAAACAAAACGCUCUUUUUAUUUUCGCGCAACAAAAAUUGUAUGAUUUCGCAAAUUUAUGAAAAGCAUCCUGCACGUAUAUCGUACUUUACACGCUUUUUUUUUUUCUUUUAAAUUCGCACUAUCUUUUCACACAAUUGAUCCAUUUUUUUUUGCACCUCACUUAAUAAAUAAUAAAAUAAUCAGGCUCGUUCGAUCAACACGAAAUAUUAGAGAGAAAAUUAUAUGAGAUUUUUGCAAACGAAUUCUAUUUAGAUAUGUUUAAUUCUUAUUUAAUGAAUUAAAGUAAAAUAAAAAAAAUUAAAUAUAAUAAUGUUCCUUGAAAAUUAAAAUUAAUGACUUAAAGAGUUUAUUUUGAGUCAUUUUGUUAUUUUUUAUAAAUAUAUAUAUAUUUUUUGAAACAUAUUGCUAGUUAGUUGACCAUCCUUAUCUCUAUUUUUAUAAGUACAAUGCAAUAUAAUUUUUUCAAAUAAUUUUAUUUUAAUUAUUUUUAUGAUGUAAUGUCGUUUAACGAUAUAAAUAAUAUAUAAUUUUAGGUAAAAAAUAAUUUCUGAGGUAUGUAAGGAUAAAUUAUAAAUGACUCAUGAUUAGCUGCUCAAUUGGUUAGCCGUCUGAAGGUUAAGUUAAAUAUCUACCGAUUGCAAAACAACUAUGUAGGUAUAAAUUUAGUUUUUUAGCUUUUACAGAGUAAAAAAUGUAAUUUAUGUGAUUUAUGCAAUCAAUCUGAUGAUUCAUCAUGUUUCUAUUAAACGACUGUCAUCUUAAAAUUUUUAAGCCAAGCAUGAUAAUGUUCGUUAAACUCGUUCAACGAGCUUCGUUUCCUCGGAGUUACAUGAAACUGCUUUUAGACAUAACGAGGCGCACCGGUGCACUCGUGACCCUGAUUGACGAAACCGUUCCCAGAAAGCCAGCAAGCCAACGAUGCCGUCGCUUUUAUCUAUUUUUAUCUAUCACGGUACUUCUUGGAAUUUCGCAUUCGAUACUUUACAGAAGGAAAACAUACUUAGAAUCACGAUUGCAAUCUAUCUUUUGUUAGAAUUUGCUUGUAGGAAUCAGAAAAGGAAUCAGAAAAGGUAGCAAAGGUCUUUAUAAAAGAUUUCGAAGCAAUACUUUUACUAUCAUCGAUGAUAUAGCAUCGAACCAAAACAUGGUUUCCUCGAUAAAUUAACUAUUAACUAACUAUUAAUCCCUAAUACUACUCCACAUAAAAUAAAAUUCUCUAGAACAGUAAAUUAUGUUACUUCAAAUACGUAAUUACAUUAAUCAAAAAUUAAAAAAUCAAUCUAUUUUUUUCAAUCGUGUUUGACUUUCUAUCUCUAAUUUAAAUGCUUUUCAUAUCAAAAUGAAAACCAAUAUAGAAUUACUAUUUAUCCGAUCAAUAGAUACAAGUUAAAAAUCAAUUCACGUUCCCAUGAAAGUAUUUAACGAUACCUAAAGGAAGAUAAAGCGUGAGUAAAAUCAAAUGUAACUUCGAAUCGAUCGGUAAAACACGAAAAUUCUGAUAGAAUGGACAAUGGUAACGGUAUAUUUGUGGCGCGAACAACAUUGCUGUCGAUAUGUGGAAAAAAAUCGGAAAAAACGAUUCGACACGAUCCGCGAGUCGACGUUCGUGUACGGAACUCGCGACGAAGCCGCUCGCAGCGUGUUUCAAGGCUGAACCGCCUCUUCUCUACACUCUCUUCGACCCCUCCAAAGACGAAUCAUCUCCUUUCCCCUAACUUCACGUUCGAUUAUCGUUCUCUUUCUCUUUCUUUCAAUCUAUCGGUUGGUUUGCGUAUCGUUUGUCUCACUUCGUUUCCUCCGUUCGUUCUUUCUCGUUCAUAUUCGUCUGUAUUCGUUGGUCGCGCCACGGCAGUGCUAUCCUAUCGCAUGACUCUGCAGCGUUACGCAACUAACAGAAGGCUAGGUCAGCAGAUUCGCAACGAUUAAACUUAUGCAGUGUGACGACCGAGCCGUUCGACCUACUUCGUAAAA